rnacentral:tRNA from 1 species
GCCUUCGUAGCUCAACUGGAUAGAGCAGGCGGUUUCUACCCGUCAGGUUGUGGGUUCGAGUCCUACCGGGGGCA